rnacentral:tRNA from 1 species
CAAAGAAUAGUUUAGUAAAGGAUUCUAGCUUUGGGAGCUAGUGGCGGGGGUUUGAGUCCCCCUUCUUUGA